rnacentral:snRNA from 1 species
GGGUAUGAGAGCCAUCUGGCUGUGACAUCAGAUAACUUCAUUGAUUGACAUGCUUGAUUUGGCUGAUCUGGUGGUCAAGUGUUGUUCUCUUUUCUCCCUCUGUAUUCAUGUGUACCUUCCCCAUGAAGCUGUAGUGUCAGCCAAAGCCUACAACCUGCCCAAUAGAAGAGGCCUUUUCUUGGUCAAAGUUAUGGCGCACUAGGGGAAGUAUUAGAAUUAAACAAGUUCUCAGAAAGAAAUGGGGCAACUCGAUCAUCAUGGGACAUAGUAAGCGACUGUCUAUUCCUCUCU